AUUGAACGCUGGCGGCAGGCUUAACACAUGCAAGUCGAGCGGGGUGAUGGUGCUUGCACUAUCACUUAGCGGCGGCCGGGUGAGUAAUGCUUAGGAAUCUGCCUAUUAGUGGGGGACAACAUCUCGAAAGGGAUGCUAAUAGCGCAUACGUCCUACGGGAGAAAGCAGGGGAUCCCUUGUGACCAUGCGCGCAUAGAUGAUCUUAAGUCGGAUUAGCUAGUUAGUGGGGUAAAGGCCGACCAAGGCGACGUUCUGUAGCGGGUCUGAGAGGAUGAUCCGCCACACUGGGACUGAGACACGGCCCAGACUCCUACGGGAGGCAGCAGUGGGGAAUAUUGGACAAUGGGGGGAACCCUGAUCCAGCCAUGCCGCGUGUGUGAAGAAGGCCUUAUGGUUGUAAAGCACUUUAAGCGAGGAGGAGGCUCUUUUGGUUAAUACCCAAGAUGAGUGGACGUUACUCGCAGAAUAAGCACCGGCUAACUCUGUGCCAGCCGCCGCCGUAA
rnacentral:rRNA from 1 species